AAAAACAAAACCAAAACAACACACACAAAAAAAGGGGGGGGCGAGAGCAGUUGUGAUUUCCAGCUCGGCCUCCCGUAGCACGCGUGGAUCCCACGCGUGUUUCCAGCUGCACUUUCCAGGCUCUGCUCGCACCUCGGCAGGCGCGACGCGGGCGGAGGGGGGAAGCCGGGAUUUUCCCCGGCCAUGUCUGCCCGGGGGACACCCGCCCGCCGCCACCUCCCCACGGCUCCGUGUCGCCGCUCCCCCGCCCCGAGCCCCGCCGGCCGCUUCCCCCGCUGGGGACACCGCGUUGGGCGGCCCCGCCGCCCGCUGACCGGGGCAUCACCCCUGCCGUUCCCGUCCCCUGCCCGCCGCUCCGGGGAGGGCGCGGGGGGCCGGGGAGGGACCCGCCGGCUUCUGGGACUUGUAGUGCGGGCUGCGGCCGCCGCUUCUCCCCCGGCCCGGCCCGGGACUACGGUGCCCACAUGGCCUUGCGCCCCGGCGCAUGAGCGCUCGGGCGCUGUAGCGCAUCUAUUAUACUGCCUUGCCGAGGAUAAAAAGAAGAGCAACUGGAGGGACUGUAAGGCAAACGUUGCUGGAGCUGCCGGGGCAAAUUUGCUCUAGGUUGUAUGGUUGCACCCUGGAAAUGGGAUGUCAGUCCCAUUCAGGGAGCAUAAAGGAAGAAAGAAAAUCUCCCCGUUGCUGCCACAGUGACAGCGAGUGAGAGCCCGAGCAGGAAGAUGUCGACAGUCACGUCAGCGAUCCAGGCUCCUCAGGGCCCUGUGAAUCCACCACCUCCAGAGGUGACUAAUCCAAAUAAACCUGGCAGGAAGACCAACCAACUGCAAUAUAUGCAAAAUGUUGUGGUGAAGACAUUGUGGAAGCAUCAGUUUGCUUGGCCUUUCUACCAGCCUGUUGAUGCAAUUAAACUGAAUUUGCCGGAUUAUCACAAAAUAAUAAAAAACCCCAUGGACAUGGGGACAAUCAAGAAGCGCCUGGAACACAACUAUUACUGGAGUGCCAGUGAAUGUAUGCAGGAUUUCAACACCAUGUUUACAAACUGUUACAUUUAUAACAAGCCCACAGAUGACAUUGUACUCAUGGCCCAAGCCCUGGAGAAGAUAUUUCUGCAGAAGGUUGCCCAGAUGCCUCAGGAGGAGGUGGAAUUGCUACCCCCAGUUCCUAAAGGCAAAGGUCGCAAGCCCUCAGCAGGCACACAGAGCACAGGAGCUCAGCAAGCCGUGGCCGUGUCUUCCGUGUCCCCGCCGGCCCCGUUCCAGAACGUCCCUCCAGCCGUGUCUCAGACACCCGUCAUCGCUGCCACCCCCGUGCCAACCAUCACCGCCAAUGUCCCUCCUGUCGCCGCCCCAGCCGCCGCCGCCCCGCCGCCGCCCGCCGCUCCGAUCAUGCCCGUGGUGCCUCCCACGCCCCCGGUCGUCAAGAAAAAGGGAGUGAAGCGGAAAGCAGACACCACCACCCCCACCACCUCUGCCAUCACUGCCAGCAGGAGCGAGUCCCCCACGCCCCUCUCGGACCCCAAACAGGCCAAAAUCAUCGCACGCAGGGAGAGUGGCGGCCGCCCCAUCAAACCACCAAAGAAAGACCUGGAAGAUGGAGAGGUCCCUCAGCACGCAGGGAAGAAGGGCAAACUCUCUGAGCACCUCAAGUACUGUGACAGCAUCCUCAAGGAGAUGCUCUCCAAGAAGCACGCAGCCUAUGCGUGGCCCUUUUACAAGCCCGUGGAUGCAGAGGCCUUGGAAUUACAUGACUAUCAUGACAUUAUCAAACACCCCAUGGAUCUCAGUACUGUGAAAAAAAAAAUGGACAGUCGGGAAUACCAGGAUGCACAAGGUUUUGCAGCAGAUAUUCGGUUAAUGUUCUCUAAUUGUUACAAGUACAAUCCUCCAGACCACGAGGUGGUGGCCAUGGCCAGGAAGCUUCAGGAUGUCUUUGAGAUGAGGUUUGCAAAAAUGCCUGAUGAGCCUGCAGAGGCCCCCACUCCACCUCCCCCAACAGCCCCAGUGGUGAGCAAAAGCACAGAGAGCAGCCACAGCAGUGAGGAGAGCUCCUCUGACUCUGACAGCUCUGACUCUGAGGAGGAGCGGGCAACUCGGCUGGCCGAGCUCCAGGAGCAGCUGAAAGCCGUCCAUGAGCAGCUGGCUGCACUGUCCCAAGCGCCAGUGAACAAACCAAAGAAAAAAAAAGAGAAGAAGGAGAAAGAGAAGAAAAAGAAAGAUAAAGAGAAGGAAAAAGAAAAGCACAAAGUUAAAGCUGAGGAGGAGAAGAAACCCAAGGUGGCUCAACCACCAAAACAAACGCAACAGAAGAAAGCCCCAGCUAAGAAAGCGAACAGCACAACCACAGCUAACAGGCAGCCCAAGAAAGGAGGCAAACAGGCAUCUGCAACCUAUGACUCGGAUGAGGAGGAGGAAGGGCUGCCCAUGACCUAUGAUGAGAAACGACAGCUCAGCCUGGACAUCAACCGCCUGCCUGGGGAGAAGCUGGGCAGGGUGGUUCACAUCAUCCAGUCCCGGGAGCCUUCCCUCAGAGACUCCAAUCCCGAUGAGAUUGAAAUAGAUUUUGAAACCUUGAAGCCCACAACAUUACGAGAACUGGAGAGAUACGUGAAAUCUUGUUUACAGAAAAAACAAAGGAAACCAUUUUGUAAGUUACCCUCCCAGGGCACGUGUUCCCCCCAGCAGCUCUUGGGCUCAGCUUUGGAGUCAGGGCAUGUGUAUUGAGAUUCUGUUAUCCACCUGUUGGGUAUGUGAUGGCAGGAAUAUUUAGAGAUUCUUUUCUCCCAAGGAAAUGUACAGAAACUUCCUGUUUUUUUCUCUGUUCUUUCUUCCCAUGGUAUCCUGCUGCAGAGACCUGGAGAGCCAAUGUGUUCCUCUGCAAGACCUGUGGGAUGCCUUUAUUUCUUACCCAGGCUCUGGAAGGCCCUGUAAAGGUUUCAGUCUCAUUGUGUCAGGUGUUACGUGCACAUAUCUGGAAGGAUCAGUUUCUUAUCCUGAAUAGUUUAGCAUCUAAUUAGGAAGAAAACAAAAAAUGUGGUUGGGAUCCAAACCACCAAGGCAAUAAAUGAGAUUUGCACAAGGUUACGUGGUUACCUGUGGAUUCUGAGCGUGUCUGAGUUGUGUAUUCACCCCAAAACUGCUCUUUCUGUGUGUCCUGAUCACCACAUUGCCCUCACCCUCUGGCAGUUCAGAGGGUGAAUGUCAGUCUGCUGCUGAGUGUGUGGUUCAGUGUGAGACAGACUUUGUGCCUCAUCCACAAAGUGAAUUUCUGCAGCCCCUUGAGAGUUUAACUCCAGAUGGACAGCAAUAGGAUCACUUACCUGAAGUAAGUCUCCUGCUCCUUUGUUUAAGGGAGUUUUGCUUUUAAGAUUGACACAAAAGCUACUCCUUGCUCUUGCAGAGCAUCUUCAUUUCUUCCUCACAGGAUUUUCAGGAAGGCCUAAGCAAAGCGCAGACUUUGACCUUUCUUUUUGCUUUAUUUUUUUUUCCCCCUAAAUCUUUCACUGUUGGCAUAGCUCAGGAAAGGAUUUUCCAGAGUGCUUAGGAACAGGAAGCAUCCUUCAAUUUUGGAACCAGGGCACAGAGUAACACAGAAUAACCUCAGAUACCCAUCCUGUGAGCCUGGCAUGCCUGAGCUUCUCUGGACUCCUGUACUGAGUGUUCCCUCUUAGGACUGUGCUUUCCAGAUUUCUUUUUUUGUUUUUUUUAAACCAUUUCUUUAAAACAGCUCACAGAAAUAUAGUUACUUCCUUGCUGGAUCAGGCAAAAUAUCUGGCUCCUGUCUCGUGCUUCCAAUCCUAGCCAACACCUGUGUUCAAUUACUCCUCCUUUGGAGGAAUAUUUCCUUUCUUUGGCAAUGUGAGUGUUACUGGUCCUUUUCACCCUUUCCAUCCUGAUGCAGUUACAUUCCUGUUGUCUGCCAGCCUUUGCCUCAGUUGGUUUUUAAUUUGCCUUUGUUUUGUUUUCUAUUUAGAGCAACAUAAACCACAGGUAGAUUCUUGCGUGAGGAGAUCAGAAGUUUUAAUGGCAGAUGCUUUACUCCUGACAACCUUUAAUGGGACACUUUAUUUUACAGGGCAGAAAACCCAUGUAACAAUUCUGUAAUUACAAAUCUGUAAUUAUUGACCAUAUAACUGGCUGCUGCCAGUGGGAAAAAGCAAGCAGCAAAGUCAAAAGAAGAGUUAGCUCAGGAAAAGAAGAAAGAACUAGAAAAACGGUUACAGGAUGUCAGUGGGCAGCUAAACAACAACAAGAAGCCUGCGAAGAAAG